GUAGGUGGCGGCCGGUGCCGAAAGGACGGCAAUGCCGGAGGCGGCGCGGGGUCUGCUGGAUCCAGCGGCCGAGGGGAAGGUGGAACAGAAGGAGUUCUACGAGUCGCUAGAUCGGAUCCUCUCCUCCUCCUCCUCCUCCUGCUCCUCCGCCUCCGACGACGCCGCCGACCACCACCACCCGCUGUCCCCUGCAUGCGUAUGACGUCUGGAUCUCUGAGCCCAUGUCCGUCGAGGACGACGAGUGCCGCUGCCUCCAACUCCAGCACCGGCACAGUAAUAGGAGCGAGUGAAAGUACUCCACACAUGAACAAUAGCAAAGCAUCCAUUCAGGACUCAGCUAAGAACAAGAAGAUUUAAAAGCUGGGUAAGAGCAGGAUUUAGCUGACAGAAGAUGAUGUGCUUCCAUUCCUCUUCUCAUUUGACGGUACUCUUCUCAUUUAUCUUCUCAUUCAACAGUAGAUAAAAAGGACCUUUGCAUGCCUGGCAUAUGCUGUUUCAGUGACAUGGUAAUCAAACAACCAACUGUGUGACUAUGUCUCCCUUUGCUCCUAUCCUAUACACAGAAGAGGCAUGAAAGAGAAGAAAUAUGACUGAUAACUAGAUUUAGAUAAGAGCAUAACCAUUAGCUAAUUUUAGUUCUCACAAUAUCUCCCAGCCAUUGUUUUCUGAACACCUGGUCGUUAGUAAUUUCUAAUUUUUUCGUUUUCUUUUGAGUUUUUUUUUCAAAAAAUGAGUAUUGCCUUGGAGACAGAAAAAAAAAAGAAAUUUGUCUAUGAAACUCCCUUGCUGUG